rnacentral:tRNA from 1 species
CAGGGUGUAGCGCAGUGGGUCAGCGCACCUGUUUUGGGAACAGGGGGUCGCAGGUUCGAAUCCUGCCACCUUGA